rnacentral:rRNA from 1 species
AUGCAAGACUACUUCGCGGAGGUACCUACAUACCCUCCUCGUCUCUUUCGCAGAAGGUACCGAAUGCGUCGUAGUUUGUUUGUGAAGAUUGUCACCGAUUGUGAGGCCGCCUCCGAUUACUUUAAACGUCGUAGAUCCGCCGCCAGUAUCAUGGGGUUUAGUGCAUAUCAAAGGAUAUCGGCGGCAAUGCGGGUAUUCGCUUAUGGCAUACCCGCGGAUUAUACCGACGAGUAUCUUCGCAUUGGGCAAGAUACAACCACGGAGUCCGUCCGUAGGUUUGCCAAGUUGGUCAUCCGGUUGUAUGGUGAGCAGUGUCUUCGGGCACCAAACGAGGAAGAUACAUGA